AUGAACGCUAGCGGCGUGCCUUAGGCAUGCAAGUCAAGGGGGCUCCGCAAGGGGCAACCGGCAGACGGGUGAGUAACGCGUAGGAAUGUACCUCGAAGUGGAGCAUAGCUCAUCGAAAGAUGGGGUAAUUCUCCGUAACUUCAAGACCGCAAGGUUUUGAAAAUAGUGCGUAACUGUACGCUUUGAGAGCAGCCUGCGUCCCAUCAGCUAGUUGGUAGGGUAAAAGCCUACCAAGGCGAUGACGGGUAGGGGGUCUGAGAGGAUGAUCCCCCACAAUGGCACUGAGACACGGGCCAUACACCUACGGGUGGCAGCAACUAGGAAUCGUCGGCAAUGGGCGAAAGCCUGACCGCGCGACGCCGCGUGUAGGAUUAAGUCUCUCGGGAUGUAAACUACUGUGAUAGGGGAAGAAGUCGUCCAAUGGACGAUUGACGGUACCCUAUUAGAAAGCCGCUACAAACUACGU
rnacentral:rRNA from 1 species